rnacentral:rRNA from 1 species
UGCUGGAAUGAAUGGUUGGACGAAAUAUAAACUGUUUCAAUUUUAUUUUUUAUAGAAUUUUAUUUUUUAGUAAAAAAGCUAAAAUUUUAUUAAAAGACGAGAAGACCCUAUAAAUCUUUAUAAUUUGUUUAUUUUUAUUGGAAAGAUGUUUUUUGUAUUAAUAAUUUAGAUUAUUUUAUUGGGGUGAUAUUAAAAUUUAAUUAACUUUUAAUUUUUUUUUAACAUAGAUUAAUGAAUUAAUGAUCCAUUAUUAGUGAUUAUAAGAUUAAGUUACUUUAGGGAUAACAGCGUAAUUUUUUUGGAGAGUUCAUAUCGAUAAAAAAGAUUGCGACCUCGAUGUUGGAUUAAGAUAUAAUUUUGGGUGCAGCAAUUCAAAUUUUAAGUCUGUUCGACUUUUAAAUUCUUACAUGAUCUGAGUUCAAACCGGCGUGAGCCAGGUUGGUUUCUAUCUUUAAUUUAUAAAAAUACUUUAGUACGAAAGGAUUAGGUAUUUGAAUAAAUUUAUUUUAUUUUUAGAAUAUUAUUAAUACUAUUUU